UAAGAGUCUUGAGAGCAUCUCUCUCUAAAACCUAGAGAGAGAAACCAGAUCUGAAACCCAACUCACCCCACCCCACCUCCCCUCCCCCUCCUCUCUCACCUAGAUCUUGAUCCUUCCGGAUCUAGAUUGACGGUGGAAGAGCUGGGGGAGGCCAUUCCAGAUCCAGAUCUGACUUUUACCCAAUCUCUCUUCUUCCCACUGCUCAUCUCCUUCAUCAAGGUUUUUCAGCUCCUUUCUCACCCUUGUGGUGAUUUUGUCACUCUCUGUGGUGUUCCUCUGGCGAUGUCCAGCAUAGGAGGACUUUGUUCCUUGGUUUUUCUGCUAUGUUCUUCUCACUGUCAAACAAUCCCAUACGUUUCCCGGUCAAAAUUCAAUCAACCACACUACACAUCUCCUCUCUUUACCAAGGACCUCUAAGAGGGUCCUUAUGGCUGCCAUUACAAAGUGCUUGUCACUUAUCUAGGCGAGUAUGGGUGCUCACGCAUGGGUUUUUCACCCCCCAUUCUCCAUUUUUACUGGCGGCUCCUCUGCGCGGUGCAAUCUGGAUAACAACUAGGGUUUUGGUAGUGGGCUGGGUCUUUUAUCUGGCCUAUGUUUUAGUUUUUAUUAAUUUAAGGAUUAAUUUUCUGAUACUAGAUUUCUUGAAGUCCAGGAGGAAAUUAAUUUUUGUUUUAAGUAUUUGUCUGUAUGGGCAUGUCCAUCAGACUGGUUCGGUGUAUUCCUUUCACAGCCCAUUGGGCUAGCUUGAGGUAGCUUAAUUGAUCCUCACUUCGCCAAAAAAAAAAUUAGACCAAAAGAUAUGUAAGUACUCAGUAUUGUAAAAAGGUUCUCUAUUUGAUAAUUAAUGUUCUCCAUUUGAUAAAAGUUGUCCAACUAUGA